rnacentral:lncRNA from 1 species
UGGGGAUCAUCUUUACAUUAAACAGCACCCCACCGCCAUAUUGAAAUGUUGGCACUCCCCGCGGUCUUUAAAAAACAUUGAGAAAACUAGAUCUUGUCCUAUUAGAAAGACUCUCUGAAGGAAAUUAAAAGCUAGGAGAAACGGGCUGUAUCUAAAUUUACGUGGAUAAUUACUAGAAAAGUUGUCUACUGGAAUCAGAGCUUUGAUCUAAUUUCUUCUAUUUCCAAAAGGAAUAUACUCUGCUUCUCAGCUGGUCUGGACCAGAUUUGCUAAAACAGAUGAAGAGGACCCUUGAGAUCCCUAGUGUCAACAGACAGAACACCGAAGCUUUGAUCUCAACGCAGAGACUGUCAUCAGUCACUGUACUUUGGAGAUGUUCCCCUUGGAAGCCCAUCAACAAAUUGGAAAAUUUACAGGGGAUAAUCUUCUCCCCCACCAGCAAGACAGCUGACUGCAACAAUAUAAGUGACCCCUGAUAUAGGAAAAUGGGUGAGACACUUACUGGCUCUCUUUUUCAGUAUGUUCAUAAAACCUGCUAUAAUUCUUAAUAAAAAUUCAGGCGGCUUAUGAGCA